GUCCACGCCGUAAACGAUGAGAACUAGGUGUUGCGGGUAUUGACCCCUGCAGUGCCGCAGCUAACGCAUUAAGUUCUCCGCCUGGGAAGUACGGUCGCAAGACUAAAACUCAAAGGAAUUGACGGGGGCCCGGCACAAGCGGUGGAGCAUGUGGUUUAAUUCGACGCAACGCGCAGAACCUUACCUGGGCUUGACAUCCACGGAACCUCUAUGAAAGUAGGGGUGCCCUUCGGGAGCCGUGAGACAGGUGCUGCAUGGCUGUCGU
rnacentral:rRNA from 1 species